rnacentral:rRNA from 1 species
CACGUAGGGCGCAAGCGUUGUCCGGAAUUAUUGGGCGUAAAGAGCUCGUAGGCGGUCUGUUGCGUCCGCUGUGAAAACCCGGGGCUUAACCCUGGGCUGGCAGUGGAUACGGACAGACUAGAGGUAGGUAGGGGAGAAUGGAAUUCCCGGUGUAGCAGUGAAAUGCGUAGAGAUCGGGAGGAACACCAGUGGCGAAGGCGGCUACCUGGACCAGCACUGACACUGAAGCACGAAAGCGUGGGGAGCAAACAGG